AAAUAUUUGCCAGCAUUUCCUACGUGCGUUUCGUCCCGUGUUUUACGUAACGCGAGCAUAAUGCCGCCAGGGGGCAAUAUAUUAUCGUGAAAACGAUAGUGGCGCCGAGCUGGGAAUACGUGGAACGACUCUUGGCUUCGUUACAUGUGAAACUAUCGUGCGUCCAUUGUGCUGCGCGAAAAUUCAGCAAAACUUACCACGGAUAUAGAGAUGGAUAGAAAGGUAAUAGACGGAGAAGAAAGAGAGAAAGAGAAAGAGAAAGAGAGUGGAAUGCCAUGCGAACGGAUUCAGAGUUUAUAGACUAUCGUAAAGUUUGUUCUGUUGGUUGCAUUUCUCAUAUAACGUGAACGAUAUUUUUCGCGUCACAUGAUCGUUGUCAAUCUCUUUCUGUGUGUUUAGGAAUUCUGUUUGACAUUUCGUGUUGUCUUGGUUACUGGAUGGCUGGAAGAUUGAGCGGGGAGGAGCAAAAGGCACUUGGAUGGAGAAAAUGAAGCAGCUAUUAUAUGGCGUCGUGUCUCAGUUUAGGGGGUGCGUUAGAGAGCUGUAAAGUGUUUCGUGGAUCAACCUUUUUAAAAGAUUUUUCUAUUGAAAGAAGAAGGGAAAAGGAUAAAUUAGAAUUGACAUAAAGAGAAUAAGACAAAGUUCUUAAAUUGGCACAAGACUAGGGGUUUUUACAAGGAUUUGGCAAAUUUUCUUCAUUAAGUUCAAAGAAGGAAUCAAGAAAAUAUCCGAUCAAAAUUCAACAU